rnacentral:lncRNA from 1 species
CAAGUUCUGAAGCCACGUUAAUCCCUACUGAGGAGUAAGAGCCUAGAAAAAGCCGCAGCAUAACCACAGAGUUUUCUCUCUGAAGGACAGGCUGGAUUAUCGUUUCACUUAGAAAUGUUAGAAUGAAUCAUGCCCUUCUCCAACACUGUUCCAGAAGACCACCAUAUUCACACAGGAAGGUAGAUGCUUGGCACAGGAAAAAACAAUUAGCUCCAGUUUCAAGCUAUACAAGGAUUAAAGAGACAUUGAGACAAAUGCUGUUUGGUAACCAGUCACAAGCUCCUUCAGUCUUUCCUGGUUUGGCUAAUCCUUCUAUUGCC